GCAGGGUUAAGGAAGCGGUCAAACCUGCAAGGUUCAGGGCCUUGUCGCUUAGUGCGUUCAGCGGUUCGAAUCCGCUACCCUGCA
rnacentral:tRNA from 1 species